rnacentral:tRNA from 1 species
AGGUUUGUGGCUCAGUGGUAGAGUGCUUACCUGGCACGUGAGAGACCCUGGGUUCCAUCCUUAGCACUA